rnacentral:rRNA from 1 species
CCUACGGGGGGCUGCAGUGGGGAAUAUUGGACAAUGGGGGCAACCCUGAUCCAGCCAUGCCGCGUGUGUGAAGAAGGCCCUCGGGUUGUAAAGCACUUUCAGUGAGGAAGAACGCCUGGUGGUUAAUACCCAUCAGGAAAGACAUCACUCACAGAAGAAGCACCGGCUAACUCCGUGCCAGCAGCCGCGGUAAUACGGAGGGUGCGAGCGUUAAUCGGAAUUACUGGGCGUAAAGCGCGCGUAGGUGGCUUGAUAAGCCGGUUGUGAAAGCCCCGGGCUCAACCUGGGAACGGCCUCCGGAACUGUCAAGCUAGAGUGCAGGAGAGGAAGGUAGAAGUCCCGGUGUAGCGGUGAAAUGCGUAGAGAUCGGGAGGAAUACCAGUGGCGAAGGCGGCCUUCUGGACUGACACUGACACUGAGGUGCGAAAGCGUGGGUAGCAAACAGGAUUAGAUACCCGGGUAGUC